ACCCAGCAGAGCAGCAGCACAGUGCUUUGGGAACGAGUGAGCCCAGCAGUCUUUGAGUCUUGGCCCACAAAGGUCAUAUGGGAAGCUGAAACCCAUCUUGUCUUGCUUUCUGUGCAGGUGCUUCUAGAGAGAGAGCAGGAGCAGAUUGCUUCAACAGAGAUGCCAUGGCAGACUCAGGGAGAGCUGUUCCCAGCCCGAGAGCAGGAAGAGCAGCUCGGGCAGCAGGUGGAAGAGCCACAGGAGAAAGGCCAGAUCAUCAAGGCAGAGCCACAAGCAGAGCUGCCCGAAGCUCAGAGUGCCAUCAUGGAUGUGAAGAGAAAGAGCAAGGAAGACUUGAUAAGUAUUCAAGAGGAGAAUCUCCAGCAGCAGAGGGGCGAUCAACAAAUCCAGGUGAGUGAAAGAGUGGCAGGCACUCCACCCAUGAAACAUCCUCUCUCUUUUUUUUUAGAGAAGAUUAAGGCACAGCUGAACACAGAGCUUCAGACAGCUCAAACUCGGAUGAAGGCAAGGCUGAAGAGGCUGGAGGAUGAAAUAAAAAUCAUCAGAGAGAAACUUAAUCCCCUCCCUCAGGCUCUACAAAAGCAAGAGCGAGUUUUGACAUCUGACUGGACAGCCUGUGAAGAUUACCAGCGAAUGUCUGCCACUGAAGAGCCCCAGGUUAGGAGUGAGGCGCAGGAACAGUGCCCACCAGAAGUGCUACAGGUUGAACAUAACCUGAAGAUGGUGCAGGAAAAGAAAACACAGUGGGAGGAGGAAGAACACUAGAACAAGGAGCUGCAAGUGUGUCUGCAGCUCUUGGAGGGGGAAAGGAAUCCUUGAGAGGAAGUAGAAUGGUGAUUGUGGCAGUCAUCCUUUGGAAAAUCCAUAAAAAUGGAACAUGAAUCUGGCCAUGAACUCGAGUAAAACUAGCCUUUGGUUUUGAUCCAUCCAGUUUGAGAAGUGGACAUCAGAAAAAAGCCAUUUAAGAGCCCUGCAUGUUGCUGACAGCACAUUUCUAAGGGCUUGCAUUUCAAAAAGGGAUCUCAGGGUAAUUUCUGCCAGCCAUCUUUUUGAUAUCAACUCAUUUUUUGUCCCAGAUCUACACAAGCUCUUUCACCAAACCUGCUGCAGCAGCAGCAGCAUCGUCUAAAGGAGCCUUUUCUCCCCGGCCUGAGAAGUGGAGCCAGGGCAGUUUGUUCACCUCCCGCACUGACCCAGCUGCUGCUCAGCAACAGGAGGUCGAGGGUGACUCUCUGGAGCUACUGAGUACGUCUGCUGUGUUUCUUGUCUGAGGGACAGUGCGUUGUGUGCAGGUGCCAGCAUAGCUGUACCAAAUGUUUCUCCUGAGUUUGGUGUCAUGGGGACAUUUAUGAGUCCCCACAGGAACUGCUGUAGAAAAUCAGUCUCUGUUCUGGCCACCUGUGCUGCAGAGCUGUCUGCCUAGUUGUUGUUGUUGUUGUUACCCAGCUGAGCACAAAGGGCUCAGAGCUCCAAGCACUGGGGCUGCCUUUUGUAUCUCCUGGAAGCUGAGGUCUCUGCUUCAAUGUCAGCAUCUUGCAUUUUUGUUGCCUUCAGGGAAAAUAGUAAACAAGGAAAAUCCCAGGAUGAAAUACACAAGACUGGACUAUAUUGGCAGUGGGUAAGUCCAACCGCAGUUACUUCUACAUAACCAUGGGCCAGGUUUUUUUGUGGUGGAAUGUCUAUCCACCAUGAAGUCAGGCAAGCUGCAAGCUGCAAA
ensembl:lncRNA